rnacentral:rRNA from 1 species
UACGUAGGUGGCAAGCGUUGUCCGGAUUUAUUGGGUUUAAAGGGUGCGUAGGCGGUCUAUUAAGUCAGUUGUGAAAUACGGCAGCUCAACUGUCGAGGUGCAAUUGAUACUGAUGGACUUGAGUACUGAUGAGGUAAGCGGAAUGGACGGUGUAGCGGCGAAAUGCUUAGAUAUCGUCCAGAACACCGAUAGCGAAGGCAGCUUACUAAGGAGUAACUGACGCUGAGGCACGAAAGUGUGGGGAUCAAACAGG